UUCUAGGUUUAAGAACUCAUUUUGACAUACUACAUGAAUAAAGAACUUCCCAGAGCUGCCAACCUUACAGUAGAGGUUGAGUGGUAGUAUAUUUGUCCUACAUAA
ensembl:snoRNA